GUGGGGAAUCUUGCGCAAUGGGCGAAAGCCUGACGCAGCGACGCCGUGUGGGUGAUGAAGGCCUUCGGGUCGUAAAGCCCUGUCAGGGGGGACGAAAUCUUGGCGACCUAAUACGUCGUCGACUUGACGGUACCUCCAAAGGAAGCACCGGCUAACUCCGUGCCAGCAGCCGCGGUAAUACGGAGGGUGCGAGCGUUGUUCGGAAUCACUGGGCGUAAAGCGCGUGUAGGCGGCCUUCUAAGUUUGAUGUGAAAGCCCGGGGCUCACCCCCGGAAGUGCAUUGGAUACUGGGAGGCUGGAGUACCGGAGAGGAGGGUGGAAUUCCUGGUGUAGCGGUGAAAUGCGUAGAUAUCAGGAGGAACACCUGCGGCGAAGGCGGCCCUCUGGACGGAUACUGACGCUGAGACGCGAAAGCGUGGGGAGCAAACAGGAUUAGAAACCCCAGUAGUCC
rnacentral:rRNA from 1 species